rnacentral:misc_RNA from 1 species
GAUGAAGAACGUAGCGAAAUGCGAUACGUAAUGUGAAUUGCAGAAUUCAGCGAAUCAUCGAGUCUUUGAACGCACAUUGCGCCCCCUGGUAUUCCGGGGGGCAUGCCUGUCCGAGCGUCAUUGCUGCCCUCAAGCACGGCUUGUGUGUUGGGCCUCCGUCCUCCUCCCGGGGGACGGGCCCGAAAGGCAGCGGCGGCACCGCGUCCGGUCCUCGAGCGUAUGGGGCUUCGUCACCCGCUCUUGUAGGCCCGGCCGGCGCUUGCCGACACAUCAAUCUUUUUUCCAGGUUGACCUCGGAUCAGGUAGGGAUACCCGCUGAACUUAAGCAUAUCAAUAAGCGGAGGA